CGAAGACAACUCACGGGGCGGGGCUUUGCAAGGCCAAAGGUGAACAGUGUCAACAUGGCGUCUUCAAUGGAGCUGAGUUGCUGGGGCGGCGACUGGGGAUUGCCGUCGGUGCACGCCGAGUGUCUCGUUGUCAUGACUUAUGCCAGGUUUUCAGGCGCACCAUUGAAAAUCAGUGUAAUAGAUAAUGAAUGGAAAGCACAAAGAGGGAGUAUACCAUUAUUAUUAUCAGAUGAUAUUGCUAUUUCUGAGCCAGCAAAAAUAUUAAACUUUUUAAGAAAACAGAAAUAUAAUGCUGAUUACGAAUUGUCUUCAAAGGAAGGAGCUGACACACUGGCAUACAUUGCACUGCUUGAAGAAAAACUACAUCCUGCUAUGCUGUAUACUUUUUGGAUUGAAGCUGAUAAUUACUAUAAUUUGACAAAACCAUGGUUUGCUUCAAGGAUUCCAUUUCCAUUGAGUUGGUAUCUACCUAGAAAGAUGUCCAGGGAAGCUCUGAAUAGGAUCUUGCUGACAAAGGGAGGGCCUCCUCUCUAUAGUAUCACUGAAGUAGAAGUUCAGAUCUACAGAGAUGCAAAAGAAUGUCUGAAUCUUCUGUCAAAUAGACUAGGCUCAGCUCCAUUUUUCUUUGGAAAUAAACCUACAACUCUUGAUGCCUUCGUAUUUGGUUUUCUUGCACCUCUUUAUAAAGCACCAUUCCUUAAAGUCCAGUUACAAGAGCAUCUUAAGCAGCUUCCCAACUUAUGUCGCUUCUGUGAUGAUAUUCUGAGUUGCUACUUUAGACGAAACCUCUCAGGGACUUCUCCGGAGGGACAAGAUACAGUUGAUGCAAAUCUCCAGAAACUUACACAGCUUGUGAACAAGGAAUCUAAUUUGAUUGAAAAGACCCCUUAUCAGCUUGGUUGCAUUCCUCUGUACAUCCUCAAGUUUAUCAAUGCCAUUCCUAAAAUGCAGUACCAAUAAAGGAAAAGAUAAAGGAGAAAAUGCAGUACCUGGAAAGAACUCAACACAGUGUUCUAGGUGCAGUAGGAAAAAUGAACUCAGAUGGAUGAUAAUCUUCGCAAGAGCCCUCAGCAUCCUCCUCGUAAGCUGACAACUGUCAAACUUUCUACAGCCGAGGAAGGAAAUAAUUCACUGAAUCGAUUGUCACCCUUAUAGUUUUUAAUUUCAUUUUUAUAUAUGCGUUCUGAGAAACUGUUCAUCUGUAAUCAAUUUUUGCACUAAACUGUGUCUUUAUGAAUCUGUGGCAAAAGAUAAUUUGACAUGGGUGCAGGCCCAUUCAUUUAACCAAUUUAUUCUAUGGUCAUGUUAAAAAUACUACACCUAAGUUAACAUAGGAAAGAUCACUAGGUAAUUGUAAAAUAUGCUGUUUCAUGUCACCUUUAAUGCUGCAUAAUGCUUGCCUGUUCAGGUCAAUAUGUCUUUUGACCAAAAGCUAUUUUUUGGGAAUUCAUUAGAUUAAGAUUUCAGUUUUGACUGCGAUCAUGUUAAACCUCAACUUUUUGUUUAUCAGAAUAGGUACUUGAUCCCCACUUUUAGCAUUUCUGUAGUUUUCUACAAUAGCUCAAAUACUGAAAUUAAAAUAUCAGAACAAUGAAUAGUGAAUGGUUUUUGCCACUUUGGAACAUUUUGUGCAAGCAGUGGUGAAUAUAUGCAAUAUAUGCUAUUUUUAAAAGAAUAUAGAUUAUUUUAAAAACUAGUCUUGCUGCCAUUGGCAUCUUGUUUCAUAUUUAAAUGUUUAUUCAGAUCUAGUUUUACAAAGAGCAGGCCUUGGCAAGCUGUCUAAAAGCAUGUUGCAUACAAAUUGUAACCAUUUUUACUGAGUUCUUUUUUUCCCUACUUUGGUCUCUCUUACUCAUUGAAACCUUUUUCAUGUUUCUUUGGAAUAGGGGAAAACAAGAUGAAGUGGAGAGAAUCUCCUUAAAACUCCAUUUCCGAGUUUUAGUCUAGUAUUCAUGCAAUUGGUUUUUGCUUUAAGGCAAUUCAUCAACACCAACCUGAAUAAUCUAUCCUUUUCUCUGGGUUAGAAUGUUUCAGUUAAUGAACUGACAGGAUAUUGAGGGUGUGCAGUAUAUUGAUCUUUGCAGAUGGAUUUCCUGAUGAGCAUGGGCUUUCCCAAGUACUUGAAUCAAGAAUGGUAGGUAAUGCACCACUCAGAACUGCUAUACAUAGAGCUCUGUCUUUUACACUUUCUUGUUAUAGUUUAUUUAUUUUACAGGAUCUAAAGGUCUAAAGCACACAUGGCAAUAUAAUAAAAACAGCAGCAGAGAGAAAUAUAAUGCCAAAGCAGUGCACAUAAAAUUCAGUAUAGGGAUAGAACUUGGCAUUUCCUGAAAGCUUCUAAAUCAAGCUCAUAUCUGUCUAAAAUGGUACUGAAAAACAUUUCAGCUUAGCAGUUUUGCCACAAUUAAUGUAACAACAUUAAUAGUCCAAAUAAAAAUGGAUAGUUGUUAAUAGGAGAAACUGGAUUGUUUAAAAGUCAGAUGGUUAGAGAUUGGCUUGCAAAAGGAAGGAAUAAAAUAAAUUGUAUAAAAAGGGGAUAUUGAAAUAUUUAAGCCUUAAGAUCUUUGAAUAGUAUGGACUUUUGAAAGCACAUUUUACAAAGAUGUACUAUGAACCUUUUUGUACCUGUUUGAAGUAGCUCCCUGAGCCCCUAUUUUUAACCAAGCUAGUGCCACAAAAUAACAGGGCACACUACCGUGGAAAUCUGUAAAACAUCAAUGAAAUAAAGUAUGGAAGGUUGCAUAAAUUUGGGGUGUGGUCUAGGCAAGGACUUUCAUUGACUCUCAAAAUUUAAUUCUGAAUUAAAUCAACAGAAUAUUUUUCAGAAAAGGACUUAACCAAAAUGGCAUCUUCUUUUAAUCAACUGAUUUUUUUUUAUAUUUUUCAUAUGUAAACAAACAACUUUCUUUUUGUUUAACUUUAUUUUGCCAAAUCAAACAAAUUUACUUUUCUCUAAAUUACUUAGAGUAUUCUGUGAAUGUAGAGACAUAUAGUAGUUAUCUGAAUAAGUUUGUAAAUUUUGUAUAUAAAUGUACUUACAGAAUAUUACUUUAUAAAAUAAGGAAUGUAGCAAUCUCUUCAUGUAACUUGUAUUUAUAAUACUAUUUUGGGAUGUCUAACAAGAAUAAAAUUAAACUUUCAUGUUA